rnacentral:misc_RNA from 1 species
UGGAGAUGGCUUCAGCUCUUUC